rnacentral:rRNA from 1 species
GACGAACGCUGGCGGCGUGCUUAACACAUGCAAGUCGAGCGGUAAGGCCCUUUCGGGGGUACACGAGCGGCGAACGGGUGAGUAACACGUGGGUGACCUGCCCUCAGCUCUGGGAUAAGCCUGGGAAACCGGGUCUAAUACUGGAUAUGACUCCAUGACGCAUGUUGUGGGGUGGAAAGCCUUGUGCGGCUGAGGAUGGGCCCGCGGCCUAUCAGCUUGUUGGUGGGGUGAGGCCUACCAAGGCGACGACGGGUAGCCGGCCUGAGAGGGCGACCGGCCACACUGGGACUGAGACACGGCCCAGACUCCUACGGGAGGGCAGCAGUGGGGAAGUCUUGCGCAAUGGGCGAAAGCCUGACGCAGCGACGCCGCGUGAGGGAUGACGGCCUCGG